rnacentral:rRNA from 1 species
GACGAACGCUGGCGGCGUGCCUAAUACAUGCAAGUCGAACGCAGUGGGGACGGGUGAGUAACACGUGGGUAACCUCCCAUCAGAGGGGAUAACACUUGGAAACAGGUGCUAAACCGAUACUGAUGGAUGGACUCGCGGUGCAUUAGCUAGUUGGUGAGGUAACGGCUCACCAAGGCCACGAUGCAUAGCCGGCCUGAGAGGUUGAUCGGCCACACUGGGACUGAGACACGGCCCAGACUCCUACGGGAGGCAGCAGUGGGGAAUCUUCGACAAUGGACGAAAGUCUGACCGAGCAACGCCGCGUGAGUGAAGAAGGUUUUCGGAUCGUAAAGCUCUGUUGUUAGAGAAGCGGUAUCUAAAGAGGAAGCCACGGCUAACUACGUGCCAGCAGCCGCGGUAAUAC